UGGGGAAUAUUGGACAAUGGGCGCAAGCCUGAUCCAGCCAUGCCGCGUGAGUGGUGAAGGCCUUAGGGUUGUAAAGCUCUUUCGGCGGGGAAGAUAAUGACGGUACCCGCAGAAGAAGCCCCGGCUAACUUCGUGCCAGCAGCCGCGGUAUACGAAGGGGGCUAGCGUUGCUCGGAAUCACUGGGCGUAAAGCGCACGUAGGCGGCUUACUAAGUCAGGGGUGAAAUCCUGGAGCUCAACUCCAGAACUGCCUUUGAUACUGGUGAGCUUGAGUUCGGGAGAGGUGAGUGGAACUGCGAGUGUAGAGGUGAAAUUCGUAGAUAUUCGCAAGAACACCAGUGGCGAAGGCGGCUCACUGGCCCGAUACUGACGCUGAGGUGCGAAAGCGUGGGGAGCAAACA
rnacentral:rRNA from 1 species